rnacentral:rRNA from 1 species
AAGUGUAAGUUCAGGCAACGAAACUGCGAACAGCUCAUUAAUACGCUCAGAACCUAUUUGGUUACGGCCCAGACGGGUCCAACAUGGAUAGCAGCAGUAAUUCUGGUGCUAAUACAUGCAGUUCAACCAUCUUAAGCGAGGUAAGAUGAGGACAUGACCGAUUGGCGUACCAUACGGUUGAGCGCCCUAUCAGCUAGUACGUAGUGUCUCUUACUACGUAGGCUGUCACGGGUAACGGGCGGUUAUCGUCGGACUGCCGGAGAAGGCGCCUGAGAGACAGCGGCUAUACCCAUGGGUAGCAGCAGGCGCGUAACUUAGCCACUCAACAAUGUUGGAGCUGGUAACAGCCAGUGAAUUGGCGUCGCAAGACCCAUUUCCAGGAUUUAGUAUUAAAAACUAAGUGAAAACAGGAGAGGGCCAGUCUGGUGCCAGCAGCUGCGGUAAUUCCAGCUCUCCGAGUUUGCUCCCAAUGCUACACUUAAAACGCCCGUAGUCUGAGUGAGAAGCGCGAGUAGCGCGUUCACCGUGAAUAAAUCAGGAUGCUUAGCGUAGUUCUCAACUGAAUGACUAAGCGCGGUAUGGAUUCUUUACCCGUAUGGGUGAGAUCAAUGAGAGCCAUCGGGGCCCGACCUACCUGGCGGCGAGGGGCGGAAUCUGUUGACCCGCCGGGGAGGAACGAAUGCGAAGGCAUCGGGCUAGAGGGUAUCUGUCGACCAAGGGCGAGAGCCGCAGUAGCCAACCGGAUUAGAGACCCGGGUAGUUGCGGCCUUAAACGAUGCCGACAGGGCCUCGUCCUGGAGGGCGGGGUUCGAGGAGAAAUCAUAGUCUCUGGGCUGUGGGGGAACUACGACCGCAAGGCUGAAACUUGAAGGAAUUGACGGAAGGGCACACCAGGGGUGGAGCUUGUGGCUCAAUCAGACUCAACACGGAGAAACUUACCAGGACAAGAUAUUGUUAAUGACUGACCAGCUAAAGACUGUUCAGGAUAUGAUUUUUGGUGGUGCAUGGCCGUUGGUGGUGCGUGGAUUGAUCUGUCAUGCGUCGAUUCAGAUAACGAGCGAGACGACCACCGGCAACCUAGGCCAACGCACUCUCGUGCGUAUGGUCUUCUUGCCGGGACUCCCGGCGUCUUAAGCCGGCGGAAGAGGGUCGCAAUAACAGGUCCGUGAUGUCCUUUAGAUGCUCUGGGCUGCACGCGCGCUACAAUGCUGGGGCCAAAGGGUUGCAAGACCGAAAGGCUAUGCUACUCCCGUAGUCCCCAGCGUAGUUAGGAUCGAGGGUUGUAAUCACCUUCGUGAAUCAGGAAUCCCUUGUAAACGUGUAUCAACAGUGCACGUUGAAUACGUCCCUGCCCUUUGUACACACCGCCCGUCGCUCCUACCGAUUGGAUGGAUCGGUGAAGCUAUUGGAGGCCUCGGCCGAAGGUAGUUGAGCCCAUCGAUUUA